AUGAAACUGUUAGCAUGGAACUGCCGGGGACUCCGGAACGCCCCGGCGGUUAGAGCUUUGCUGGAUGUCCAGUGAAGAUGCUUCCCCGAUGUGAUGUUUUUGUCGGAGACUCACCUCGACACGUAUCCGGCUGAAUGUUUGCGUAAGAGAUUGAAGAUGGAUCAUAGUUUGGUCUGUUCAAGUGGUGGUAGAAGUGGAGGUUUAGUUUUGUUUUGGAAUAUAAAUAUUAAGGUCCAUAGGUUAGCACUUGAUCCUAUGUUCAUUGAUGUUAAAAUUGAAGAAAGCAAUAAUGUUUUUUGGCGCUUGACUGGGAUGUAUGGGGAGUUCCGAUGGGAAAACAAGCACCUAACUUGGAGCCGUAUGCGACAACUUCAUCAAAAUCUGAAUAUACCCUGGCUUCUUAUCGGAGAUCUUAAUGAAAUCCAAUUCUUACAUGAAAAAGAGGGAGGCAACCCUCACCCAUUCCAAUACAUGCAAGCUUUUCAAGAAUGUAUAGAGGAUUGUGAACUGCAUGACCUUGGAUAUGUGGGAGAUAUCUUCACGUGGUAUCGAGGAAGAAUUAGAGAACGACUAGACAGAGGGUUGGUUAAUGACGCAUGGGCGGCCUUGUUUCCUCAUGCAGCUCUAGAGAACUUGGAGUAUAAUCAUUCAGAUCAUCGACCUCUUCUGGUGAAUACUGAAUAUUAUAAUUUCAAUUGUAUUGCUGCUGGAGCUGCGCAACCAAAGAGAUUUGAAGCAAGGUGGCUAAGAGAAUAG
rnacentral:rRNA from 1 species